GGUUACAGAGGCAGAGGCGCUCAGGGAUUUCCCAGAGGACGCUCCAGCUUUGCGUGAACUUACCGUCCGGUGUGGAUGAUUCAGCUCACCGUGUUUGAGCUCCGUUGGCUCCGUUGGAGGUGCUGUCGCUGAUUCCUGGCGAGUGCUAGUUACUGUUCAGUCCGGUGGUGUUUUUCAUCGAUCUGCGUUGGUCGUCCGAUUUUGAUGGACAUUUUCUUCAGUCCGGUUCACAGCGACGAAAGAGGAAGAGGAGGAGGGCUUAGGGGUUUAUAUACCUCUUAUGUUAUGUAUUUCUAUUGGUUGUUUCCACUUGUUAUGUUAACUCUUUCUUUGCUGCUACUGUGAGAGUAAAGGAAGUAAUGCAAAA